GAUGAACGCUGGCGGCGUGCCUAACACAUGCAAGUCGAGCGGCAGCGCGGGGUGCUUGCCCCCUGUCUGCGAGCGGCGGACGGCUGAGUAACGCGUGGGAACGUGCCCCAAAGUGAGGAAUAACUGCCCGAAAGGGUAGCUAAUACCGCAUAUUAUCUUCGGAUCAAAGGAUUUAUCCGCUUUGGGAGCUGCUCGCGUCGGAUUAAGUAGUUGGUGAGGUAAUGGCACACCAAGGCGACGAUCCGUAGCUGGGCAGAGAGGAUGACCAGCCAGACUGGAACGGAGACACGGUCCAGACUCCUACGGGAGGGAGCAGUGAGGAAUCGUCCACAAUGGGCGAAAGGCUGAUGGAGCAACGCCGCGUGCAGGACGAAGGCCUUCGGGUUGUAAACUGCUUUUAUAAGUGAGGAAUAUGACGGUAACUGAUGAAUAAGGAUCGGCUAACUACGUG
rnacentral:rRNA from 1 species